CUCUGGUUUGUGAAGAAGAAAGAGUCAAUGCUUGGAGGUGAUGCCCAUGAGAAACACCAAGAAGGUAACCAAAGAGACCAAGAAGAUCCCCUCUUAACCUUUUUCACUUAAGCCAGCUCCCCGAGCACCUUCUUACUCCUUAUGUAGCCCAGUCCCUUUUAUCAUCUUGCUUACCUUCUGAAGGACUGUCUCCAGGAUGUGAUUUAUUUAUUUUUUUCAUUGAAGAGACAAAAAACAAACGCAGUGCUCCGGGCAUGGCCUUCCAAGCUGCACAAUAGAGAAGAAAAGCCACAUCUCUUGAAGAUCUGUCUGCACUCUUGUUAAUAGAGCCCCAUAUGGCUUCAUCCUCAUUGUCACAAGGUUGCACUGCCAACUUGAAAUCUCUUGAAAAUAAGCACUACAUUCCAAUACUAACUGGGAAUAGGUGAGAGCCCUGGCUUCUUAAGUGACUUAUGCUGUCCAAGCAGAGAAGAGAUACUUCAGACAUCUAGGGAUCUUGAUAUAUAAAAUUCACAGCUCUGCAUGUUCCUUUAUGCUUAAUGUGUGCAGGAUCACGAGAGGAGAUAAGAUGAAUAAUGCAGAGAUGCCAAUCUAGGACUUUCUCACCAUUCCUCCUGUGUGAAUCAAGGCUGUCUUAUUUGAGUUGAUCCUUGGAGUCUUGGGUCCCCAGCCACUAAAAGAGGGAGAAGUGGGAAGCUUAGAACAGGUAGUUGUAACACUCCUUUCCAAAUUUUUUAUUAAGUUGAUGAUGGAAUGCAUAAGUAAGGAAACAAAGGAGAAGUCAGUUCCCUUGGAGUGAGCUGAUGUAAUAUUUCAGGGUCCACUGCUAUCUGCAGAAGUGCUUGCCCCCUUAGGAUAUAAGCAAUUGUUAACAAAAGGGCAUCGUUCUCAAGAGGAAUAUGGGACAGAGUGUUAUGAGAAAGUAAGAAGGCUGAAAAUCAACAAGGAUAAAAAAGAAAGGAAAACCAGUCUUUAUUUUUGUAGUUAUUUGAGGGUUAUAUGUAGAUUUUAGGAAUCUAAAAUAUUAAAGAAAUAAACAAAUAAGCCAAACUUAAAAAACAAAGCGCUAAUGAUUUAUGUCAACUUAUCCUGAGACAGACUAACACCACAGUUCUGUGUGACUGCUUAUCUAUUAUUCUGUUUAUUCUUAUUAAAAACUGAUGCUUUGUGUGUUUGUGUUCUGUAUAUGAGUCCAGGAUAAAACUAGCGAGGUAAAUUUGAAAAGAUGUGAAAUACUAAAAUAUUCUUUUUUAACUGUUUUAUUAAAAUAUUCAAUAUGUGAAAA